rnacentral:snRNA from 1 species
AUAUGUAUCCAUUUGGCUAAGAUCAAGUGUACUAUCUAUUCUUAUCAGUUUAAUAUCUGAUAUGUCCUCUAUCCAAUAUGAUGUAUUGUCAUUGCCAUUUAAUUGUAGAAACUGUC